GACGAACGCUGGCGGCGUGCUUAACACAUGCAAGUCGAACGGAAAGGCCCUGCUUUUGUGGGGUGCUCGAGUGGCGAACGGGUGAGUAACACGUGAGUAACCUGCCCUUGACUUUGGGAUAACUUCAGGAAACUGGGGCUAAUACCGGAUAGGAGCUCCUGCUGCAUGGUGGGGGUUGGAAAGUUUCGGCGGUUGGGGAUGGACUCGCGGCUUAUCAGCUUGUUGGUGGGGUAGUGGCUUACCAAGGCUUUGACGGGUAGCCGGCCUGAGAGGGUGACCGGCAACAUUGGGACUGAGAUACGGCCCAGACUCAUAAGGGAGGCAGCAGUGGGGAAUAUUGCACAAUGGGCGGAAGCCUGAUGCAGCAACGCCGCGUGCGGGAUGACGGCCUUCGGGUUGUAAACCGCUUUCGCCUGUGACGAAGCGUGAGUGACGGUAAUGGGUAAAGAAGCACCGGCUAACUACGUG
rnacentral:rRNA from 1 species